GAUCAUGGCUCAGGAUGAACGCUAGCUACAGGCUUAACACAUGCAAGUCGAGGGGCAGCAUGUAUCUGGCUUGCCAGAUACGAUGGCGACCGGCGCACGGGUGAGUAACGCGUAUCCGACCUGCCGCACACUCCGGGAUAGCCUUGCGAAAGCAAGUUUAAUACCGGAUGCCGUAAGGAUGCCGCAUGGUUGUUUUUACGAAAGGGAUUUACCGGUGUGCGAUGGGGAUGCCG
rnacentral:rRNA from 1 species